GGCUGGUCCGAGGGUAGGGAGUUUGUCAAUUGAUUGUUCACAGUCAGUUACAGAUCUAACUCCUUGUUCUACUCUCCCCUCUUGUCACUGCUGCACUUGAAUAGGCUUAA
rnacentral:Y_RNA from 1 species